ensembl:lncRNA
CUUUGACUUUAGGUUGAGGCUGCACAUUCCUGGGGCAGGCCUCCGGUGGGGUCUGAGAGCGGGAAAUGACCAUAUCUGGUGUUUUGUCUUGAUGAGAGGAAAUUCUUUGCCCAGGGCAACAGCCCCCCUGGGGUGUGCCCUCCUCUGUGGGUGACUGGGAACUCAAGAGAGCCAGAGCCCAGGAUCCUCUUCAAACCCAAUUUGCACGAGAAAUCAAUGUGGUUUUAUUUUAUUUUUGUUGUUGUUGUUCUUUUUCUUCAGGCCCUGAGAUGCCAAGACCCUCAAGUAAAUAAUAAUGAUGCUUUUCAGACCAGGAUUUCAAACUGCUUAGCUGUGAUUAGUCUUCUUUUUAAACACAGAAAAACUGAGGUGAUUUGAAGGAAUCCACUGACAGGUCAAAGGGAGGCUCAAGGAAGCCUUGGCCCCAUGCUGGGCCCCACUUACCUGAGGGCAAGGAGGCCCUGCUGGUUUCUGGACAGAAGUAAACUGAGUCUCUUAUUGAUGUCUCCAGGGCAAAGCCCUGUAGGCCAAGGAGGCAGGCUGCAAGAUCAAUUCUGGAAGGCCCUUCUAUGGUCAGCUUUGUCCAGAGGCAUCCGUGUGUCAUGGAGUAAGAGGCAGCUUACUGGUUGGAAUAAGGUUUGAGUCCUGUGACAGGAACCUCAGUUUUCUCAUCUGUGAAAUGGGGAUAGUGUCCUUAGGCACAGGGUUCAUUAAGGACUAAUUAGAUGUGGGAGAGUGUAGCGCAGUAUAUGGUGCAGAACCAAGCAGUGAUAAUCAUAAGAAUCAUAAUACCACCAUCGUCAUCAUCAUCUCCCUGUGAAAAGACUACUUCCCUAGCAGUGGAGAUCCCAAGAAUCUCAAAGAUCUGAGGGGGCUAAGAAAACUCACCCCACACUCCUGGACCCUUCAGGCCACUGCUGCUAAGGGAGGAGAGCAAUUCCAUAGAAACAGCGACAAGAUUUCCUGGUAAGCUCACUGUCUCCUAGAUUCCUGGGGAGCCUUGGAGAUGUGGGCUGAAGAGGUUCUGAGAACCCCUGUAUCAAGAAUGUCUGACUUCAAUAUAGAACUUUUUUAAAAAUUAAUUAAUUACGGGGUGUUGUUGUUGUUGUUGUUGUUGUUGCCACACCACAUGGCUGUGAGAUCUUAGUUUCUCAGCCAGGGAUCAAACCUGGGCCCUCAGCAGUGAAAGCUCAGAGUCCUAACCACUGGAGGGCCAGGGAAUUUCCAAGAUGGAACUUUCAAAAAUUUACUCUCUAAAGGAUCUGGACUAAGACUGUGUGUCUGCAGACCCUGAAACUGAUGAUCGGCUUGAUGGGAGCAGGUAUCCUGGAAAGGAACUGAGUUUGGAGGGAAACCCAGAGUUCUACAGACCUGUGUUCCAAUCCCCUCUCUGCUAAAUCUCAGCUGUGUGGGCCUGAAUAAACAACGCUGCGGUAAUACACUCUCUUGGGAUGACAAAUAUCAGGCUGCAGGCCUCACAGUAAGAGGCCCCAAAUGGCAGCUCUGUUGGUUGGAUCAACGCAAUCAGUAAAUGGACUGGUUUGAGACGAUUGAAAUGAUAAUGGUCCUGGGAAAUGGGACCGGGCCACUGUCUAGGAGAGGAUCCAGGAAUGGUGGUAACAAAUGUAGUCUGUUCACCAUGUCCAAGCCGAGGCUGACAUAUCCCUCUCCAGUGCUUCCAUGGUAAGAUGGGCCUCUGGGAAGAGUAGACCCAACCCCAGAGUCUUGGAACUGCUGUGGUGGUCCCUGGAGACACGGGGUGACAGGGGACGGCUUUCUGAUCCCAGAUGAACAAACAAGAAUAGAAGAAAAACCUUGCCAAGUUGUCAAGUUGGGAGGGCAUCCCUGACAGUUGAACCUAGGCUUGGAAGACUGAGGUGCAGCCUGGUUCCUCGGGAGCCUAUGAGGAAGCUGCCCAGGACUCAGUAUCUGGCUGGAGCCAUGGUCUAACAGCUGUGUGGGCAUUAUAAAUCUCUCUCUUGGAGAUGAGGCUCCGAGGCUCUCGAUGGAUCCUGCUAAUGGUAAAUCUGUCAGUGCCCACAGCGCGAGACCUGGACUCAGAGCAUCAAGAUAUCACAAUAUAACAGAAAGGCUUUCGGCAUUCCAGACUUGAAAAGGAAAGUGAAAAGGAAACGUUCCGAGCAUAGCGGCUGAUAUUCCUCUGGGAAAGGCGCAGCACAGGCUGACCGCCCAGUUCCUCACUGGUGCUCUCUUGUACAUUCUGGUUUCUUUCAGGGAACCAGAUCCCACAUGCUGCAAUUUAAAAUUCCAGAUGCCGCAACUAAGACCCAUCGCAGCCAAAUAAAUAAAUAUUACAAGAAAAUCAUCAAUGCCUUGAAAGAACAAAGAAAGACCGAGGAACACUUCCAGAUUAAAAGAGGCUGAGCGAUAUGAACUGAAUGCCACGUGGGGUCCAGGGUUUCCUUGUGUUAUAAAGGACACUGCUGGGACAAAUGGCAAGAUCCAUGUAAAACAGACAAGAAUGCUGUUUUGGUGUUCAUUCCCUGAUUUUGGUAAUCAUAUUGGAAGAUAUCAUAUUGUAAGAGAAUGUCAUCUGCUUUUAGGCAAUACACGCUAAAGUAUUCAGAGGUAAAAGCAGUAUUAUGUCUGCAGCUUACUGUGAAACAGUUCUAAAAAAAAAAUCUUCCUCUUCUAUGUAUAUCUAUCUAGAGAGAAAUGGAAAAGAAUAUGGCAAAUGUGAUAAAGUGUUUACAUUUGGGGAAUCCAGGUGAAGGGUGUGUGGGAAUUCUUUGUACUGUCCCUGCUGCUUUUUUGUAAGUCUGAAAUUGUAUUUAGAUAAAAAGUAAUGAAAAAGAAAGAAGUAGAUUGCAGUGGGUGCAUGGUUGCCCCCCAAAAGAGGAAAAACUGACCUGCAGUAGGGGCGGGACUGUCCCUGGAAACGCCUGCCUCAGCUGACGCAGGCCCUGUUCCCGUCUCCCUCUGGUGGCUCGCAGGCCUGCCCUGCCCCACAGCCACAGCUAAACUCACCGUCUACCUCACUCACGCCCGGGCUUCUCUGAAGGCCAGGCUGGGUGUGGACAGGUCACGGGCCCUAAGAGGGCAGUCACAGAGAGUUUUCCCUGGGAACCCCUGGCUGUGGAGACACAGCUCCACCCUCCUUGCACAUCUGGGUUUGGGGGACUCUAUUCAGAGCCACAGAGCAGAGGACCACGGAGGUGAGGGGUCUACAGAGGCCCCCCGUCUGUCAGUAAGCAUUGUGAAGAGUACAUACCUCGGGCGGUCUCGCUGUUUCACCUGCCUGGGCUGGGCAGGGCUGAGAGGAGAGGGUCUUUAUGGCCCAGAGGAAG